UGCAAAAGCUCCUGCUCACUGUGCAUAAUAGUAAGUCUUCCAGCGACUAGAAAGAAGAGAGAGAUAGAGAUAGAGGUGACUGCAGUAUAUUACUUUUUUAUGUUGCCAACAGCGAUCACCUUGGGUCAGCCGUUCUAAGAGAUGGCUAGAGUGCUGAAAGGGUAUUCUCCAUCUGUGGACAAACCAUUACCGAAAUAUGGUCGCCUCAGUGGAUGUGCUGUAUUCACCUAGAUGAAGUUUGUGAAAAGACAAAUCUGUGG